rnacentral:rRNA from 1 species
GAUCCUGGCUCAGGACGAACGCUGGCGGCGUGCCUAACACAUGCAAGUCGAACGGGACUAUUGAAGAAGCUUGCUUUUGAAAUGGUCAAGUGCGGACGGGUGAGUAACGCGUGAGGACCUGUCUCCGGCAGGGGGACAACAUUUGGAAACGGAUGCUAAUACCGCAUAAGCCGAGAGGUGAAAGGAGCAAUCCGGCAGGAGAGGGACUCGCGUUCUAUCAGCUAGUAGGCGGGGUAAAGGCCCACUAGGCG